rnacentral:rRNA from 1 species
UACCGGAACCGUACCUAGGAAGGGUGGGGAAUUAACGGUACGACGUAAAGUUUACCGCUAAUACCGCAUAUUCCUGUGAGCAGGAAAGAGGGGGAUCGCAAGACCUCUUGCUUUAGGAGCGGCCGAUGUCGGAUUAGCUAGUUGGUGAGGUAAAGGCUCACCAAGGCGACGAUCCGUAGCGGGUCUGAGAGGAUGAUCCGCCACACUGGGACUGAGACACGGCCCAGACUCCUACGGGAGGCAGCAGUGGGGAAUUUUGGACAAUGGGCGCAAGCCUGAUCCAGCCAUGCCGCGUGAGUGAAGAAGGCCUUCGGGUUGUAAAGCUCUUUCGGUGGGGAAGAAAUUGCUUCGGUUAAUACCUGGAGUAGAUGACGGUACCCGCAUAAGAAGCACCGGCUAACUACGUG